UAUGGCUAUAUCAUGUUGAAACACUGGUUCUCAUGCAAUCACUGAAGUUAAACAAUAUCAAGCCUGGUCGGUACCUAGAUGCGUGACUGCUUGGAAAUAUCAGGUGCUGUAAG